rnacentral:rRNA from 1 species
AAGAAAUUUACGCUAAUACCGCAAACGAUCUAAAGAUGAUAGCGGGGGAUCGCGAGAUCUCGAGCGAUUGGGGCGGCUGAUAUCAGAUUAUGUUGUUGGUGAUGUAGGAGCUCACCGGGCCGACCAUCUGUAGCAGGUUUGAGAGAACUACCAGCCACACUGGCACUGAUACACGGCCCACACUCCUACGAGACGCAGCAGUGGGGAAUUUUGGACAGUGGGCAAAAGCCUGAUCCCCCUGCGCCGCGUGCGGCAAGAGGGUCUUCAGGUUGUAAACUGUUUUUGUCCGGAACGAAAAAGUCUGCCCUAAUACAGUGGCCUCAUGACGGGACCAUAAGAAUAAAAACCCGCUCACUACCUGCCAGCAACCCCGGAAAUACGUAGGGUGCGAGCGAUUAUCUGAAUUACUGGGCUGCAAGCGUGCGCAAGUGGGCAUAUGAUAAAAUACUGAAAUCCCCCGAUUCCACCUGUGAACUGCAUCUGGGACUGUAUAACUGUAGAACUGUAGAGAGUGAUGGAAUUCCGCAUG